GUCGGGACGAGCUGGGCGGCGGCGGGCGGCUGCCCCACGUGCGGAGACGGCGCCCGGCCGCCCCGCGGAGCCCGCCUCGCCCGGCGCGGAGGACCAGGGCCACGCGGCCUCGGGACCAACUUCCCGACUUCGUGCUCCUCUCGGAACAGAGUCGCCGCUUCCAAAGUGAAGCCAGCCUAGGUUUGAUCAACGCAUGCCCUGGAUUUGGUGGAGGCCCUGUGAAUUGGUUUGCCUUUUAUGGACAUUUCAUGAAAAUGGAAUGAUACGAUAUGUGGCUUGCGUUACUGAGCGUCAUGUUUUUGAGGUUCAUCCGUGUUGUAGCAUGGAAGAUUCCUUUUGCUGAGGAAGAUUGGCUUUGAGCUAACAUCUGUACUUGCCUGUAACGCCUGCCACAGCAUGACUUGAUGAGCGGUGCGUAGGUCCACGCCUGGAAUCCAAACCUGUGAACCCCCCAGGUGCCGAAGUGGAGUGUGCAAACUUAACUGCUAUGCCACCAGCAGAAGAGCCUUUGAGUGAAGACCUGGGAACUUGGAAAAGACUUCUUACUCCGUUACACUUGGGGACAACUUGGGACAUUUUGUGGUACUCCAUGAGGAGGUAUUUGAACAGCUGCCUACGCAGAGGCGAGGGAGGGAGCCUUGCCUUCCUAACUGGAGGAAUAUGACUGUGUGCACAGAGGAGGGCCGCACCUUGGACCCCAACUUUUAGCGGCUGGGGGAGCUGCAGGAUGGAGCACAGAAGCUUGUUUGCUGGCUGCAGAAUCUUGCGCCUACACCCUAGAGCUAGUGUCAUGGCCUCAAGACUUCUUGAACAAGAGAGUUACACCAGAAUCUUUAAGAAGAUCUCAGGCACAUCUCUGAUGUAGCCACAUAGAGCCCAAAGGUUGCAGUGCCGAGGGACUCGCUCCCGGGUUCUCGUCUGUGAGAACCACUCCAAAGGGACCCAGGGCACCUUGUGGCCAUCGAGCUCUCUGUUGGGACCAGUAGCAGCCUCCUGAGGGGACUGCAGAGUCCUGCCCUCGAGGAACUUACAGGGGGGAACCAGUUGUAGCUGACACGCACUGAGCUUCAGACCCUGUAACUAAUGCUGUCACGGAUCAUGUCCUUUAAUCUGCGCAGCCACCUGAUGAGGUUGGACAAUUACUUCCCCCUUUUUAGAGAUGAGGAGAUUGAAGUUUACAGAGAUUAAGUUUUUCCAUGGGGCCACACAGCUAGUGAGAGAUGAGGCUGGGACUGAACUCAGGCAGCCCAGCUCCAGACACUCAGUUGUGUAAAUAUAGAUAUUAGUGACAACGUUUGUAGUGUGGAGUAGCAAUUCUUAAUUCUUCACUAAUGGCGAGAUAGAGUAAAACUAGCUGCCCUUGUACGGAACAUUCUGUGACAAAUCCAGUGACGCCUUCUUACCGUGAUUCUUCUCCAGAUCUCAGGAGUCAUGGGAACUAAUUGCAAAUCAAAUGGCUCUAAUUUGCUACUUUCAAGUCAAGGAGGCCACAGAAGAAGAAUUUCAAGAAGGGAGUAGAGGACAAUGUUAAAUGCUGCAGAGAGAAAGUAAAAUGGGAACUGGGAAGAUUCCAUCAGAUUUGCAAUUAGACUUUGUGAACUAAAAUAUCUCUUGUGUCCUGGGAUACCAAGAGAUUUUUUUCCUUGCGUAAUUUUGAUGAAAUAGGUCAUAUACACAUGGUGCUAAAUUCAAAACACAGAAGAGGAAGACAGCGAAAAGCCUCUGGGUCUCCCCUCCCAUCCCUGCACCCCAGGCGCCCAGGUUCCUUUCCAGGAAGCAAACAAUAUUACCAAUUUAUUGUGCAUCCUUACUCUAUACACAUCUAAUAAAUAAGUGUAU
ensembl:lncRNA